AAAUUUCAUGCUUCUGUGCUCCCAGAAUAUUAUAAGGUGAAGUGAAUCCCUGGUAGGUAUGAAAGAACCCACUGGUGGUGGUGGAGUAAUCCAGGCUGUUCUUCAUGGGAGCUCCAUCUUUGGGAUGUUGUGUUGUGCUGUGCUGCCAUUUGGCCAAACAGUUACUUCAUGACUUGGAUGCAGAUUUUCUCCUGAAACGAUACCAACUGUGUCCUCUGGAUUACUGUAGAGGAAAAGAGGUGAAGUUUCUGGAAGUCUGGAGUGGUUGAAUUUUGACUUCUGAGCUGGGGAGAUGCUUACUGUUCAACUGAACUGCCUGACGUUACACGCUGAAGGAGAGGCCACUGGGGACUCAUGUUUAUAGUGAUCAAGGCCCAAAUUUUAGACCUGCUGCAAGAGGGAUGGUGGAGAAAGAAGCAGUUUUAAAAAAUUGAGUGGCACUGAGAUGUGAGCAGUGCUCUGUGCUACAUGUAGGCUUGGGGUCCUCCUGGGGUGUUCACAGCAAGGUAGCCAACAGAACAGACUAUGCUGCUGAGCCACCAGUAACUUCUCUAAGUAACUGCAGAAACAGUGAUUGCCAUUCUAGGAGGGAACGCUGGGGGGAGAGGUUUGUAGCUUUUACCAGCCUGAAGAAGAUGCAGCCUCAUCAUCCUAGAUCCACGGGAGCGUUUCAUCCUGCCUCCCAGCGUGGUGAGUCAACUUCACAACGCUGUCCCCUUCCUGCCAGGACAAGAAAAGGGCUGUGAGGAGAUGGUUGAAAACUUGGGGAAUUGACAGAGGCAUGUAUUUCCUGGCUGUGAGGCAUUAGCUGGAGGAAAUAAUGCUGAGUGGAGCUGCCAGGUGAGCUCAGAGCUAUGUGGGCCAUCUGUUGAUCUUGAUUGAGAUCUUCUAAUGCAGCUGAGUGGUGGAAAAACAAGCCAUUAAUUAGUGCUGAGCCUGGGGUCAAACAAUCUUCCCAACUUGCUUUAUGGGACAAGUCCCUGCAGCACCGGAGUCAUCUAGGAGAAGUCCCAGAAUUCUCUUGGAAUUUAUUCCUGCCAAUAUAGAGAUUGUUAAGUCUUUCUGUAUAAACCUCUUUAUUCUAGCCUUGCCUGGGGGAUGCUUCAAAUGACAGCAGUGUGUAAGGCAAAGGAAAAGCCUUAAGUUUGUAGUUCCCUUUCCUGUUCCCAUACCAAGGAGGAACCUCUCCAGAAGCCUGACACCAGGUUGGGAAAAUCUGCGUGCUGGAAAGGCCGAGUUGAGGCUUGUGUGCUGUGGAGGAGGUCGUUUGUCAGGGGCACCAACAUCUUGAUGGAGCUAUUUGGAGCUGGGGAGCUGCUGUGUGGCAUCAGGAGCGAGGAAACCCUACUGCAACGGAAACUGGCUGCUUUAGCCUGGGUGUGGGUGGCCAGUUCUCCUUCACACAAACCUCCAGCUGCAAGAGCUGCCUCUCCUAUAGUGUUGAGGAAGCCUAAGGGAUCCAACCUGGCCUAUCUGCUACUUCAAAGAGUUUUGCUGGAAUGCUGUUGCAGUGACCCAGACUGGGCAUCCCACAGCCUUGGGAUCUUCAUCUGCUUGAAUUGUUCAGGAAUCCACCGCAACAUCCCACAAGUCAGCAAAGUGAAGUCUGUCCGUCUGGAUGACUGGGAUGAUGCUCAAGUGGAGUUUAUGGCCUCAAAUGGAAACAAUGUAGCAAAAGCAAAAUAUGAAUCUAAAAUGCCACCGUUUUAUUACAAGCCAACAUUUCUUGACUGUCAGCUGCUGCGGGAACAGUGGAUCAGAGCCAAAUAUGAACGAAAAGAGUUCAUUCACAGUGAGAAGCAGGAGCCUUAUUCUGCAGGGUACCGAGAAGGGUUUCUGUGGAAGAGAGGACGUGACAACGGGCAAUUCUUAAGCCGGAAGUUCGUGUUAUCGGAGCGGGAAGGUGCACUGAAGUACUUCAACAAAAAUGAUGCAAAAGAACCCAAAGCAAUUAUGAAGAUUGAACAUCUAAACGCGACUUUCCAGCCUGCAAAAAUCGGGAACCCACACGGACUGCAGAUCACUUACUUGAAGGACAAUAGCACAAGGAACAUCUUUGUCUAUCAUGAAGAUGGCAAGGAAGGCUGCAGGCCGUGUCUUCUAAAUAAUGAGAUGCAAAUGGAAGCAGUUGCUGUUACUCUGCAACUAGACAAUAGGGGCAGAGGCAUUUUUAAGGCAGGCUCCUCGGUGCCUGGAGAAGAAAAUGAGGCAAUUGGAGUGAUGAAAGGUAAGGCACCCAAAGGGAUUAAAGAUGGAUGGACAAAGCAAGUCACCAUGUUGCUGCCCCAGAGCUCCCCAGGAUGGGACAGCAUCAUGCAGCUUGACUGGAGAUGUCGGUUCUGCGUGACCUCAACCUGGUCCCUUCUUGAGCUCCUUGGUGUGUCCUGAAGGCAAGUGAGAGACUGAAACCAGCCCCAGCACCUUGCACAAAGUGGUCACAUCUGGCUGCUUUCGUGGUGCGGGUACAACCCAACAGCAGCAGGUGCCUGGAGGGGCGGGGUGAGGUGCUGUUGGCUCUGACCGUUUUGAAGGGUGUUGUUGUGGUCCCUUCUUAGCACUUUCCCACCCAGAUGUACUGAGUCAGCUGAGGUGAAGCCAGAGCACCUGUUGGAGCUGGAGACCCAUCCUCUGUGUGGGGUGGUUGCUCCUUGCUGCCUGCCCUGUGUCCUGGAGACACCUGAGCUGGGGCUUCUCGCCCGGGCUGUUCCUCCCACGGCCGCGGGGCUGGGGCCAGGCUUCACCUGCCUCUAAGUCACCAUCUGGGCGUGGGAGGUCGGAAAGCUGCAGCAGUGGGUUUCCCACCGCUCUGAGCUUCUCUCCGAGGCUGAAGCUCCCUCUGCAGGACUUCAUCUGGAAGCCACGGCAGCAGGAGCAGCUCGGAAAGCCACGGUGUGCUGCUGCCCUGUCACCAUCGCCCUAAGGAUGCUCAGAGCUCUUCCCCAAUGCUCCUUCUUUCCUGAGCCACACCAGGAGCUUUCAGGAUGGGCAGAGGUGGCAUGAGGAACUGAUCAGCAGCAGCAGAAUGGUUCAUUGCUUGGGCUGCAGGGAUGGAGGAGCAGGAGGUAUGGUGAGAAGUUGCAUUUUUUAUCUGGGGCUGUCACUCUGAGUCUGCCAUGGCAGUGUGGGUGGCUGUGGUUCAGAAUGGAACCUGGAGAGACACAGAGGUGGCAUGUGGAGGGGGAGGCUGUGGUGGCACUGCAAGCAGACCAGGAGGAAGUUGGCAGCCUGGAGAAGCCAUUUGCAAAGGUGCAGGGAGCAGCUCAUUUUCUCUGCUUGCUUUGAGACAUAAACCAGCAAAAGAAGCUGAUGAGAUGACACCUCCCCAUCUGAAAGCACUGAGCAGGUUACAGUUGGCUUAACACUUUGGAUAGAACCUCCUCCCUCUCUCUCUGUGCAUUGUUUGUAAUUAUACACAGAAAAUGUUUAGCACCUGAGCCCUUCUGGCUUUGCACAGGUACAGGUUUGUGUAAGGAAGGGUGAUGGUGCCCCUGCCAGUGGAUGAUCAGUACUCCAAGAAGCAAUUGCCUGUUGGAAGGUAGUGAAGGUUUCACCCUCAACUUUUCUGCAGGAUGAA